rnacentral:rRNA from 1 species
UGGCGGCGGCCUACACAUGCAAGUCGAGCGGUUGACGGGAGCUUGCUCCCUGAUUCAGCGGCGGACGGGUGAGUAAUGCCUAGGAAUCUGCCUAUUAGUGGGGGACAACGUUUCGAAAGGAACGCUAAUACCGCAUACGUCCUACGGGAGAAAGCAGGGGACCUUCGGGCCUUGCGCUAAUAGAUGAGCCUAGGUCGGAUUAGCUAGUUGGUGGGGUAAUGGCUCACCAAGGCGACGAUCCGUAACUGGUCUGAGAGGAUGAUCAGUCACACUGGAACUGAGACACGGUCCAGACUCCUACGGGAGGCAGCAGUGGGGAAUAUUGGACAAUGGGCGAAAGCCUGAUCCAGCCAUGCCGCGUGUGUGAAGAAGGUCUUCGGAUUGUAAAGCACUUUAAGUUGGGAGGAAGGGCAGUAGAUUAAUACUUUGCUGUUUUGACGUUACCGACAGAAUAAGCACCGGCUAACUCUGUGCCAGCAGUCGCGGUAAU